GCGGGCAUGAUGGAAUUGGUAGACAUGCGAGAUUUAGGUUCUCGUGGAGUAAUCUGUUGGGGUUCGAGUCCCCAUGCCCGCACCA
rnacentral:tRNA from 1 species